rnacentral:tRNA from 1 species
GGGCGAUUGUCCCGAGCGGCAAAGGAGGCGGACUGUAAAUCCGCCGUGUUUUCACACUUCGGGGGUUCGAGUCCCUCAUCGCCCA